rnacentral:rRNA from 2 species
GGGUUGUGAGGUUAAGCGACUAAGCGUACACGGUGGAUGCCCUGGCAGUCAGAGGCGAUGAAGGACGUGCUAAUCUGCGAUAAGCGUCGGUAAGGUGAUAUGAACCGUUAUAACCGGCGAUUUCCGAAUGGGGAAACCCAGUGUGAUUCGUCACACUAUCAUUAACUGAAUCCAUAGGUUAAUGAGGCGAACCGGGGGAACUGAAACAUCUAAGUACCCCGAGGAAAAGAAAUCAACCGAGAUUCCCCCAGUAGCGGCGAGCGAACGGGGAGCAGCCCAGAGCCUGAAUCAGUGUGUGUGUUAGUGGAAGCGUCUGGAAAGGCGCGCGAUACAGGGUGACAGCCCCGUACACAAAAAUGCACAUACUGUGAGCUCGAUGAGUAGGGCGGGACACGUGGUAUCCUGUCUGAAUAUGGGGGGACCAUCCUCCAAGGCUAAAUACUCCUGACUGACCGAUAGUGAACCAGUACCGUGAGGGAAAGGCGAAAAGAACCCCGGCGAGGGGAGUGAAAAAGAACCUGAAACCGUGUACGUACAAGCAGUGGGAGCACGCUUAGGCGUGUGACUGCGUACCUUUUGUAUAAUGGGUCAGCGACUUAUAUUCUGUAGCAAGGUUAACCGAAUAGGGGAGCCGAAGGGAAACCGAGUCUUAACUGGGCGUUAAGUUGCAGGGUAUAGACCCGAAACCCGGUGAUCUAGCCAUGGGCAGGUUGAAGGUUGGGUAACACUAACUGGAGGACCGAACCGACUAAUGUUGAAAAAUUAGCGGAUGACUUGUGGCUGGGGGUGAAAGGCCAAUCAAACCGGGAGAUAGCUGGUUCUCCCCGAAAGCUAUUUAGGUAGCGCCUCGUGAAUUCAUCUCCGGGGGUAGAGCACUGUUUCGGCAAGGGGGUCAUCCCGACUUACCAACCCGAUGCAAACUGCGAAUACCGGAGAAUGUUAUCACGGGAGACACACGGCGGGUGCUAACGUCCGUCGUGAAGAGGGAAACAACCCAGACCGCCAGCUAAGGUCCCAAAGUCAUGGUUAAGUGGGAAACGAUGUGGGAAGGCCCAGACAGCCAGGAUGUUGGCUUAGAAGCAGCCAUCAUUUAAAGAAAGCGUAAUAGCUCACUGGUCGAGUCGGCCUGCGCGGAAGAUGUAACGGGGCUAAACCAUGCACCGAAGCUGCGGCAGCGACGCUGAUGCGUUGUUGGGUAGGGGAGCGUUCUGUAAGCCUGUGAAGGUGUGCUGUGAGGCAUGCUGGAGGUAUCAGAAGUGCGAAUGCUGACAUAAGUAACGAUAAAGCGGGUGAAAAGCCCGCUCGCCGGAAGACCAAGGGUUCCUGUCCAACGUUAAUCGGGGCAGGGUGAGUCGACCCCUAAGGCGAGGCCGAAAGGCGUAGUCGAUGGGAAACAGGUUAAUAUUCCUGUACUUGGUGUUACUGCGAAGGGGGGACGGAGAAGGCUAUGUUGGCCGGGCGACGGUUGUCCCGGUUUAAGCGUGUAGGCUGGUUUUCCAGGCAAAUCCGGAAAAUCAAGGCUGAGGCGUGAUGACGAGGCACUACGGUGCUGAAGCAACAAAUGCCCUGCUUCCAGGAAAAGCCUCUAAGCAUCAGGUAACAUCAAAUCGUACCCCAAACCGACACAGGUGGUCAGGUAGAGAAUACCAAGGCGCUUGAGAGAACUCGGGUGAAGGAACUAGGCAAAAUGGUGCCGUAACUUCGGGAGAAGGCACGCUGAUAUGUAGGUGAAGCGACUUGCUCGUGGAGCUGAAAUCAGUCGAAGAUACCAGCUGGCUGCAACUGUUUAUUAAAAACACAGCACUGUGCAAACACGAAAGUGGACGUAUACGGUGUGACGCCUGCCCGGUGCCGGAAGGUUAAUUGAUGGGGUCAGCGCAAGCGAAGCUCUUGAUCGAAGCCCCGGUAAACGGCGGCCGUAACUAUAACGGUCCUAAGGUAGCGAAAUUCCUUGUCGGGUAAGUUCCGACCUGCACGAAUGGCGUAAUGAUGGCCAGGCUGUCUCCACCCGAGACUCAGUGAAAUUGAACUCGCUGUGAAGAUGCAGUGUACCCGCGGCAAGACGGAAAGACCCCGUGAACCUUUACUAUAGCUUGACACUGAACAUUGAGCCUUGAUGUGUAGGAUAGGUGGGAGGCUUUGAAGUGUGGACGCCAGUCUGCAUGGAGCCGGCCUUGAAAUACCACCCUUUAAUGUUUGAUGUUCUAACGUUGACCCGUGAUCCGGGUUGCGGACAGUGUCUGGUGGGUAGUUUGACUGGGGCGGUCUCCUCCUAAAGAGUAACGGAGGAGCACGAAGGUUGGCUAAUCCUGGUCGGACAUCAGGAGGUUAGUGCAAUGGCAUAAGCCAGCUUGACUGCGAGCGUGACGGCGCGAGCAGGUGCGAAAGCAGGUCAUAGUGAUCCGGUGGUUCUGAAUGGAAGGGCCAUCGCUCAACGGAUAAAAGGUACUCCGGGGAUAACAGGCUGAUACCGCCCAAGAGUUCAUAUCGACGGCGGUGUUUGGCACCUCGAUGUCGGCUCAUCACAUCCUGGGGCUGAAGUAGGUCCCAAGGGUAUGGCUGUUCGCCAUUUAAAGUGGUACGCGAGCUGGGUUUAGAACGUCGUGAGACAGUUCGGUCCCUAUCUGCCGUGGGCGCUGGAGAACUGAGGGGGGCUGCUCCUAGUACGAGAGGACCGGAGUGGACGCAUCACUGGUGUUCGGGUUGUCAUGCCAAUGGCACUGCCCGGUAGCUAAAUGCGGAAGAGAUAAGUGCUGAAAGCAUCUAAGCACGAAACUUGCCCCGAGAUGAGUUCUCCCUGACUCCUUGAGAGUCCUGAAGGAACGUUGAAGACGACGACGUUGAUAGGCCGGGUGUGUAAGCGCAGCGAUGCGUUGAGCUAACCGGUACUAAUGAACCGUGAGGCUUAACCUUACAACGCCGAAGCUGUU